AGAGUUUGAUCCUGGCUCAGGACGAACGCUGGCGGCGCGCCUAACACAUGCAAGUCGAACGAGCGAGAGAGAGCUUGCUUUCUCGAGCGAGUGGCGAACGGGUGAGUAACGCGUGAGGAACCUGCCUCAAAGAGGGGGACAACAGUUGGAAACGACUGCUAAUACCGCAUAAGCCCACGGCUCGGCAUCGAGCAGAGGGAAAAGGAGCAAUCCGCUUUGAGAUGGCCUCGCGUCCGAUUAGCUAGUUGGUGAGGUAAUGGCCCACCAAGGCGACGAUCGGUAGCCGGACUGAGAGGUUGAACGGCCACAUUGGGACUGAGACACGGCCCAGACUCCUACGGGAGGCAGCAGUGGGGAAUAUUGCACAAUGGGGGAAACCCUGAUGCAGCGACGCCGCGUGGAGGAAGAAGGUCUUCGGAUUGUAAACUCCUGUUGUUGAGGAAGAUAAUGACGGUACUCAACAAGGAAGUGACGGCUAACUACGUGCCAGCAGCCGCGGUAAAACGUAGGUCACAAGCGUUGUCCGGAAUUACUGGGUGUAAAGGGAGCGCAGGCGGGAAGACAAGUUGGAAGUGAAAUCUAUGGGCUCAACCCAUAAACUGCUUUCAAAACUGUUUUUCUUGAGUAGUGCAGAGGUAGGCGGAAUUCCCGGUGUAGCGGUGGAAUGCGUAGAUAUCGGGAGGAACACCAGUGGCGAAGGCGGCCUACUGGGCACCAACUGACGCUGAGGCUCGAAAGUGUGGGUAGCAAACAGGAUUAGAUACCCUGGUAGUCCACACCGUAAACGAUGAUUACUAGGUGUUGGAGGAUUGACCCCUUCAGUGCCGCAGUUAACACAAUAAGUAAUCCACCUGGGGAGUACGACCGCAAGGUUGAAACUCAAAGGAAUUGACGGGGGCCC
rnacentral:rRNA from 1 species